GCGCCUCGUGUAGUGUCUGUUUGUUUUCAUGCGCAUUUGUGAAUUGAUGCCCGGAGCACAUCAAACCAAAUAUUCAAAUGAUCACAUAUGUAUGUAUAUAGAUAAAUAUAUGUACUCCAAAUGUGUAGGUGUAUAUGUGGCUGUGUGCGCUUAAAGUGGGAAUACCGCUACCGCAAUCAAAACAGUUGGAUAUUAAAUUUGUUGGCAUUCCAAUGGCAGCGCAUGCUGAACUGUGCUGAACUGCACUGAACCGAAUUGUCACUUGUCCGGGGCACUCGUACAACGGGAAUAUUCCAAAAAAAAGCAGAAAAAAUGCAGUGCAUCGGCGCGAAUACUUUAAAUGUGCGGUUGGUACGAAGAUCGGCAAAUAAUUCUCAUAUAAAAGACCCACUAGGUCCAAUGGGAAUCGAACGAGGAAAGGUAGACUCAAGCAGACGUGGAGUUGGGGAUCACAGAGUGUGUUUUAACCUUUCAGUAAUUGCCUUGGGGAUGCACAAGAGGGCGCAGAAACAUGGACGAGAAGAGAAAACCCUUGGGAGAACUGUUCUUUCUGUCUCUGUUGUUAGAUCUUUGAAGCCGUGAGCGCGGAGUAAUGAAGAUGAACCCAACAGUAACAUGGAUAUAGUUAAGCGCAUAAAUAUCCAAUCAAUGCAUUGGUUAGGCCAUGUCGUGUGCAUGGAAUUAUCCAGUGAAAAGCUACUUCGAUCCGAGACCUAUGGGUGGACAACGGAAGCAAGGACACCCACGCAUUCAAAGGAAGAACUGGCCAUAUGCACUUGGGAUGUGCCACUGGUGUGACUUUGCAUAGGAUUAAACAAACUUAAAACUUACCGAUCCAAACAGGGCUAGAUCAACAAAAAAACAGCACGAAAAGGAGCUGCCUUUACGCCGCGAUGUCUGAAUUUGGUAUCCCCGCAAAACUAAUACGGCUGUGUAAAUUGACGUUGAGCAACACCAAAACACUGUACGAGUUAUACGACGACAUUGACAUAGUUCAGCGAAUAAAAAGACAGCGGCUACGCUGGCUAGGUCAUGUUGUCCGAAUGAACGAAAACACUCCAGAGCUGAAAGUGUUCGAUGCAGUACCCGCUGGUGGAAGCCGAGGAAGGGGAAGACCUCCACUCCGUUGUAGGGACCAGGUGGAGAGCGACCUGGUUACACUUGGGAUCUCCAACUGGCGCCGAACUGCGAAGGAGAGAGAGAGGUGGCGCACUAUCGUCGAUUCGGCUAUAACCAGCUAAACGUUUGCAACGCCAAUCACAUACAUACAAUCACGUCUCUUAUAACUUUUAUAGAUUAGAACUCGAAUCAGAACAAUUCGAAUGUUAUUCUGAAAUACUUUCAAAGGAACAAUGAAAUAACUAACUUCGGUUAAACACCUUUCUUGGGCUAACAAAUUGGCACAGAACAAGAAACUUUGUCUGAAUUUUGACUGAUUAACCUUUUGAAGUGAUUUGGAAUAGACCAAGGUAUUUUGAGGAGAUGUCUACUGCAAAAAUUUAUCUUCAAUUACCUAAUAAAUUAGCGACUUAAGUGGUGACUAACGUGGUGGUGAUUACGACUACACUGGAAGCAACAAGUAAAUAAAGACUUGCCUAUAACUGACUCUAAAUUAUUCUGCAGAGUAGGCUGCAAAGGAUUUCUACCGUUUUAUGCCAAAUUUAAGGCAUGAAAUUCAAUUUUAUAGUAGCCGUUACUUCAAAAACCGAUAAAAGACUUCCAAAAAGAACUAGUUCCGAACUAGUCUGCAGAUUAUUUGUUUAAAGCAAAUUUUCUCCAACAACUACGUUAUGAAAAUAAUUGAGUCCUGAUAUAUAACUAUGCUCUCCACAUCCACUCUUUUUUCCCGCAGGGCAUGUUAUGACUUCAUAGUUAGUGAAUGAGUAAAGUGUAGUAAUGUGGCUGCUGCAGUUGGUGGAGUGCUUGUGGGUGCGUUGGAGUAGUGCUUUGAUGGCGACCGGGAACUCGAAAGCAGAUAACUGUCACAAGCACGCACACAUACUCGUACACUUAUCAUGUGCGUGAAGAUACACUUGAAUUAGACACAGAUGGUCAGAGAUUUAGUGUUGUUUGUGGUGAUGUUGAUGUGCUAUUGUUAUUGUUAUUGUUUUAUAUUAUUGUUGUUGUUAUUUUCCCAUUUCCACAGCACACACACACCGUAGUUUCUAGUGCUUGGCGCUGACUUCCACUGUUAGUAUGUAAAAAUAUAUACACACACACACAUAUAAGUGGCUGCUGCUCAAGUGCGUGCGCACUACGCAUAUAGACAAAUAUACAUAAUUGUUAUUAUUUACUAAUGCUGGGUAUCCGCUGACAGAUUUAGAAUUUCAAAUAUAAUACAAUCAAAAUCACUCGUCACACACUCUAAUCAAGUAAACACAAUCAAUGAUGAUGAUGAGAAUGACGAUGACAACAACAACAAGAACAACAAUAUAACGCACACGACCGUCGUUCGACCACCCGCUCGCCAAUUCGAUACGCUUUCCAACAGCGCUCGUCUGUAGUGUGUAUGUGAAGCUGUGGAGUAGGAGGAGUGAAGUAUUUGUGGCUUGUUGUUUUUGUUUUAAUUUUGAAGUCUCGUGAAGCUGUGCAGCAGCAUAUCAUUCGAAAUGCAUAAAUCAAAUGCGUACCGGGGCGUUGCUGUUAAAUAUGAAUUUUUUUAAUUUGAAAAAUAUUUUUUUCCGAAGCGAAUUUUUGAGUUUGGUGAGUUUAGGUGAAUUAUAAUAGACGAGAAUACAUGCAGUUCGCUGAAAUGUGGGUGUGAUUAUUUUUAAAUGAAUAUACAAUAGAAUCGAAAAAUAUGUGCAUAACUUAUGUAUGUAUGUAUAGUAGCUGUGUGUGUGUAUGUGUCGCUAUGCUAAUAUAAAUCAUGUGCAUAUAUUUCAUUUUUAAUGUGAACAUUAAAUUCCAUUUUAUGGCAUGUUGAAAUUUUGAGUCCCUAAAUUACGCAUAUAAACACAUGUAAAAUGUAUGCUUACACACCAAAACAACACACAACAACAACAACACACACUUGUAAAAUAUGACAAUAUAAUAAAAACGCACGUCCGUCCGUCCGAGUUAGUCCAUAGCAUACCCGGCGGCUAUCGGUGUCGCUUGAGGUAGGCAAUUGAAGUGUGAUAUGUAACUGCGUGCGACAGGCGACAGCCAGCGGAAGCAUGAAGCACGAAAAAAAAUUAAAAAAAAAAAAUGAAAUGAAGAAUGAAGACUACAUAUAACAGAAAAGCAACAACAACAACAUCAGCAAGUAAGAAAGCCUAAAAAUUUAUAACUUAAUGUGUCUAAGUACGUUUACAAUACUAAAAUCAUUCUUUAUUAUCUAGUCAACCAUAGGUAAAUCAACCUAUAAGCACUUGGAUAUACACACACACACAUCUACGUAACAUAACCUUAAAUAUGUCGGUGUUGGUGCACAAAUCAUUCGAAUGUGGUUAUUAAGCUAUGUGUGUACUUCACUUAAUCUCCCAAGUGACGGCUUUCUAUCUCUCGCAUUUCCGUUUUGCUUCAAUCGUAAUAAUUUACUUAUUUGGAAAUUCUUCAACUAAUGUACAGUGGCGCGGAGCGUGUGGCAAAUUACACAAAAUAAUUUCAAUGUCAGUUUGUUAUAUAAUUUUCGAAAUCUUAUAUUAAUGGAAAGUUACUUCAUUUAGUUGACAUUAUAAUGGGAACAGUUGGGAAACGAUUUAAGAGCAGAUCAA